rnacentral:rRNA from 1 species
GACGAACGCUGGCGGCGUGCUUAACACAUGCAAGUCGAACGGAAAGGCCCUGCUUUUGUGGGGUGCUCGAGUGGCGAACGGGUGAGUAACACGUGAGUAACCUGCCCUUGACUUUGGGAUAACUUCAGGAAACUGGGGCUAAUACCGGAUAGGAGCUCCUGCUGCAUGGUGGGGGUUGGAAAGUUUCGGCGGUUGGGGAUGGACUCGCGGCUUAUCAGCUUGUUGGUGGGGUAGUGGCUUACCAAGGCUUUGACGGGUAGCCGGCCUGAGGGGGUGACCGGCCACAUUGGGACUGAGAUACGGCCCAGACUCCUACGGGAGGCAGCAGUGGGGAAUAUUGCACAAUGGGCGGAAGCCUGAUGCAGCAACGCCGCGUGCGGGAUGACGGCCUUCGGGUUGUAAACCGCUUUCGCCUGUGACGAAGCGUGAGUGACGGUAAUGGGUAAAGAAGCACCGGCUAACUACGUGCCAGCAGCCACGGUGAUACGUAGGGUGCGAGCGUUGUCCGGAUUUAUUGGGCGUAAAGGGCUCGUAGGUGGUUGAUCGCGUCGGAAGUGUAAUCUUGGGGCUUAACCCUGAGCGUGCUUUCGAUACGGGUUGACUUGAGGAAGGUAGGGGAGAAUGGAAUUCCUGGUGGAGCGGUGGAAUGCGCAGAUAUCAGGAGGAACACCAGUGGCGAAGGCGGUUCUCUGGGCCUUUCCUGACGCUGAGGAGCGAAAGCGUGGGGAGCGAACAGGCUUAGAUACCCUGGUAGUCCACGCUGUAAACGGUGGGUACUAGGUGUGGGGUCCAUUCCACGGGUUCCGUGCCGUAGCUAACGCUUUAAGUACCCCGCCUGGGGAGUACGGCCGCAAGGCUAAAACUCAAAGGAAUUGACGGGGCCUCGCACAAGCGGCGGAGCAUGCGGAUUAAUUCGAUGCAACGCGUAGAACCUUACCUGGGUUUGACAUGGAUCGGGAGCGCUCAGAGAUGGGUGUGCCUCUUUUGGGGUCGGUUCACAGGUGGUGCAUGGCUGUCGUCAGUUCGUGUCGUGAGAUGUUGGGUUAAGUCCCGCAACGAGCGCAACCCUUGUUCACUGUUGCCAGCACGUUAUGGUGGGGACUCAGUGGAGACCGCCGGGGUCAACUCGGAGGAAGGUGGGGAUGACGUCAAGUCAUCAUGCCCCUUAUGUCCAGGGCUUCACGCAUGCUACAAUGGCUGGUACAGAGAGUGGCGAGCCUGUGAGGGUGAGCGAAUCUCGGAAAGCCGGUCUCAGUUCGGAUUGGGGUCUGCAACUCGACCUCAUGAAGUCGGAGUCGCUAGUAAUCGCAGAUCAGCAACGCUGCGGUGAAUACGUUCCCGGG